rnacentral:rRNA from 1 species
UACGUAGGGGGCAAGCGUUGUCCGGAAUCACUGGGCGUAAAGGGUGCGUAGGCGGGUCUUUAAGUCAGGGGUGAAAUCCUGGAGCUCAACUCCAGAACUGCCUUUGAUACUGAAGAUCUUGAGUUCGGGAGAGGUGAGUGGAACUGCGAGUGUAGAGGUGAAAUUCGUAGAUAUUCGCAAGAACACCAGUGGCGAAGGCGGCUCACUGGCCCGAUACUGACGCUGAGGCACGAAAGCGUGGGGAGCAAAGCAGGAUUAAGAAACCCC